UAAUUGAAGAGUUUGAUCAUGGCUCAGAUUGAACGCUGGCGGCAGGCCUAACACAUGCAAGUCGGGCGGUAACAGGGAGAAGCUUGCUUCUCUGCUGACGAGCGGCGGACGGGUGAGUAAUGUAUGGGGAUCUGCCUGAUGGCGGGGGAUAACUACUGGAAACGGUAGCUAAUACCGCAUAAUGUCUUCGGACCAAAGCGGGGGACCUUCGGGCCUCGCGCCAUCAGAUGAACCCAUAUGGGAUUA
rnacentral:rRNA from 1 species